rnacentral:rRNA from 1 species
AUUGAACCUACAUGUGUAGGAUAGGUGGGAGGCUUUGAAGGCGUGACGCCAGUUGCGCUGGAGCCGUCCUUGAAAUACCACCCUUGUAUGUUUGAUGUUCUAACGCAGGGCCCUGAAUCGGGCUCGCGGACAGUGCCUGGUGGGUAGUUUGACUGGGGCGGUCUCCUCCCAAAGAGUAACGGAGGAGCACGAAGGUUGGCUAAUCCUGGUCGGACAUCAGGAGGUUAGUGCAAUGGCAUAAGCCA